GAGAGCCCAGUUUCCAGUGGAUCUGUGCUGUGAUGCUGACAGAUUUUGCUGUCUAGAAGUGCAGGUGUCCACGAGGAGGCUGUGCCCUACCCAUGGUGUGGAGGCUCCAAAGUGUGCGUGUCCAAGCUGCUGCCUGCAGGCUGAGGGCUUUGGCUGACACUCCUGAGAAAGGCAGGAAUACAUGGAGCUCCUGGUGCUUCGGUUGCUCCCAUCCUUGGUGCAUCUCACGGGAGGGAGUUUCCUUUUCUUUGCUCGUACGAAACCGCCAUAGCUGGGAGGCAAAGCUCACUGGCUGUGCCUUCGAUGCAGGUGGGUUGGCACACAGCAUGCUGUGCUGCUUGGGGUGAGGACAGGAGCAUCCCGGGCACACAACUCCCUCUGCCCUGCUGCUGUCCAAGCGUUCCUGCUUGUGUGUUUUCAGAAGGAGGUUUGGUCAGGGUGAUCUGUGUGGGGGCACCUUGAGUGGCAAUGUGCUGGGGAGGGGGCUUAGCAGGGCAAUGCUGGCUUGGGUCUGGCGGCACUGCUGGUGGCAGAGGGAGGAAUGCAGAGGGGAUAUCCACUUAGGGGCUUCCUUUUCCUCUCCCCUAAAGAGGAGUGACAGCAAGGCUUUACCUCGUGUCUUUCUCUCCCUGCCUUCUGAUAAGCAAAUGCAGCACUAGGGCUGACAGGGUGGAGACAGCUCUUAACCAUGAUGGCAGGGAUUGGAGGGUGCAAAAAAUUUACUGUCCUGUUCAUCACUCUGCAGUGUGGUUGUGGACAUACGCAUGUGUCCAUACUUCCCAACGAAACAAGCCCCACACGUGAAUUCUUCCCCCUAAUCUAUCUCAAGCAGACUCCAACCAUGGUUGUAAAUUACAUCCAGACACAUGACAUGGAUAUAUUGUCAGGCUAGGAUUUUUCCACUCUGCGCAUUUAAUUUGACUCAGCAGUGUCGCCCCAGUUUCUGCAGAUUACAGAGUCCACACUCUCAAUCAUUUCUAUUGCUCCCAUAAGGAGAGAAUUUUGCUUUAUUUCUUUCUCGUGUGCUUGCACCUGCUGUGUUUUAUUGUCCUCUUUAACCCUUUUGUGCCAUAGGUACGUUCUCCCGAAGCCGUGUGCGGGGGCUGGCUGCCCUGCCUCAGAGGUGUGGAAAGGGCAGGCAGAGCGGUUCGUGCUGCCGGGUGCUAUAUGCCCUCCUGGUAAUCCAGCUCUGGAAAUGUGUUUUCAGUUUUUCCCUUUGAAAUAUGUAAUGAGAAGUAUUGCCAAUGCAUACUGUAUUCCUCUGCCGUUAGUUCCUUGAGUAGAUUAACAGCUGUAAGAACGAUGUCUUCUGACGAUGGUAUUUGACGCUUACUUUUCAAUAUUUCA
rnacentral:lncRNA from 1 species